rnacentral:rRNA from 1 species
UGGCGAACGGGUGCGUAACGCGUUGGUGACCUACCCCGAAGAGGGGGAUAACAGUUCGAAAGGACUGCUAAUACCCCAUGUGGUCAUGGAGGUUAGAGGCUCGAUGACUAAAGCACGCCCGAAAGGGCGAUGCACUUCGGGAGGGGCCUGCGUCCCAUCAGCUAGUUGGUAGGGUAACGGCCUACCAAGGCUUCGACGGGUAGGGGACCUGAGAGGGUGGUCCCCCACAUUGGCACUGAAACACGGGCCAAACACCUACGGGUGGCAGCAGUAGGGAAUAUUGGGCAAUGGGCGAAGGCCUGACCCAGCAACGCCGCGUGUGCGAUGAAGGUCUUCGGAUCGUAAAGCACUUUUCGGGGAGAUGAGAAAGGACAGUAUCCCCGGAAUAAGUCUCGGCUAACUACGUGCCAGCAGCCGCGGUAAAACGUAGGAGGCAAGCGUUAUCCGGAUUUGCUGGGCGUAAAGCGCGUGCAGGCGGUUUGGUAAGUUGGAUGUGAAAGCUCCUGGCUCAACUAGGAGAGGUCGUUCAAUACUACCAGACUAGAGAGCGGUAGAGGGAGGUGGAAUUCCCGGUGUAGUGGUGAAAUGCGUAGAUAUCGGGAGGAACACCAGUGGCGAAAGCGGCCUCCUGGACCGUUUCUGACGCUCAGACGCGAAAGCUAGGGUAGCAAACGGGAUUAGAGACCCCGGUAGUCCUAGCUGUAAACGAUGUGAACUUGGCGUCGGCGGGUUCAAAGCCGUCGGUGCCGAAGCCAACGCGAUAAGUUCACCGCCUGGGGACUACGGCCGCAAGGUUAAAACUCAAGGAAUUGACGGGUUCCCGCACAAGCAGCGGAGCGUGUGGUUCAAUUCG